rnacentral:rRNA from 1 species
CUACGGAGGGUGCAAGCGUUAUCCGGAAUUACUGGGUUUAAAGGGUGCGUAGGCGGUUUAAUAAGUCAGAAGUGAAAAGUCCGGGCUCAACCGGGGCCUUGCUUUUGAUACUGGUAGACUUGAAUUAGUCUGAGGUUAGCGGAAUGUGACAUGUAGCGGUGAAAUGCAUAGAUAUGUCAUAGAACACCAAUUGCGAAGGCAGCUAACUAGACCUUAAUUGACGCUGAGGCACGAAAGCGUGGGGAGCGAACAGGAUUAGAAACACUAGUAGUCC